UUAAUUGAAGCCAAAAUAGAGGCUUACCACUGUUAAUGGUAAAAUUGAAAUGAUAUUCCAAUUAAG
rnacentral:tRNA from 1 species